CAAUAGCGUAUAUUAAAGUUGUUGCAGUUAAAAAGCUCGUAGUUGAAAUUUUAGUCUGUUGAAGCCAUUGCAUUCUGCAUAUGGCACAACAGACUAAUACUCGCAAAGAUGCCUCCGCUUAUUAGUUUGGGCGGUUGUGGAGUUGCGUCGUUUACUGUGAACAAAUUAGGGUGUUUAAAGCAGACCUCAGUUUGAAUACAUUAGCAUGGAAUAAUAAGAUAUGACUUUGGUUGUAUUUUGUUGGUGACCACCGAAGUAAUGAUUGAUAGAAACUGUUGUGGGUAUUCGUAUGAGCAUGUCAGAGGUGAAAUUCUUGGAUUUUGAUCAGACGAACUACUGCGAAAGCAUUUACCAAGGAUGUUUUCAUUAA
rnacentral:rRNA from 1 species